GUGAUUACCUGGCUGAGGUAGUGUCUGUCAUGUUUAUCCACUAUCAUUGUACUCUGUUUCCUCCUUCGUAUACUGCACUAUUUGAAAGGAAGUCACCACGAGCAGCCAACAUGAAGGGUGGAGAAUUAUACUCCAACCACCCCUGACUUGAGGGAGCUGUAGCAUAUACUGUGAGUGUUCCACUCACAGCCUCUGCAACGUGGAAGAUCAUGAGUCCGUGAUUAUGAGAUCUCAGGAACAUGAACAUGAGAUCUCAGGAAAUUUUACUGCUAAUAGCUCGAACGCACCUCCUUUCAUUGCAGGGCCACUCACAGGCUUCCUGAUACUGCUUUAUGUGCAAACUGAAAGAGCCAGAAUUACACCCUCUCCUUUUCCAGGGAAACCAUGAGCCAAUGACUAAGGAUUUGGAGGUGUAAACUCCUUAGGCCCUUGAUACAGCUCUGAAUGAGGCCACUUGUCUUUAAAUCUCCCCAGUGGGACUUGGUUUGAUGCCACACCCUUGCUUGCUCUCCUUCCGUUCCCAGCUUUGCUUCCUACUUGACAACCUGUUUUUCCUACAAACAUUUCUUAACACACCACUUUUACAUGAUUUCUCAUCUCAGAACCACUUCUAGGAAACCCAGCUUGAGAGAAACAAUAGGUCUGAGACCCCUUUGAGACUCUGUUGAAAACCAUGGUUCAUCUUCAGAGAAAAUAAGGCAUUAUUCAUAUGAAAAUGUUUAUAUAACCUAUGGAUUUCAAUUUAAGGAUGCCAUGACUAAAAAUCUCUAAGGUAACUUGUGUUCUUAAAUUCACUCCCCCCUUCAAAGACAAAUUUAGUGUCUACUGAUAAUUGGCAUCAUUGUAAUUUCUGAUAUCAAAGUGAAUAAAACUAACCAGAUCCUUGC